rnacentral:rRNA from 4 species
AACGACUCUCGACAACGGAUAUCUCGGCUCUCGCAUCGAUGAAGAACGUAGCGAAAUGCGAUACUUGGUGUGAAUUGCAGAAUCCCGUGAACCAUCGAGUCUUUGAACGCAAGUUGCGCCCGAAGCCAUUAGGCUGAGGGCACGUCUGCCUGGGUGUCACAC